CCGUCUCUUUCUUUCUCCUCCCUUCUUCUAGUUCAGAGGGAUUUGGGUUUUAAUUUUAGGGUUACUGAUUUGGGUUUUAUCUAACCAUUUGGGUGUUGGAUUGUGGUUGCUCUACCUCGAUCAACAAAGGUGCUUAGCUUUUUCAUCUCUCUUGCCUUCUACGGAUGUUGCACUCACUCUGAAGCUUUGAUAGUUACUAUCUUGCUAAGAAGAAAAUUCCUUCUAUCCAUGGAAAUACAAUGGGAGUAAAACUACAGCAGUUCAUAUUUGAUGCGUUUCCAUACGCACAUUCAACUGCACUU